rnacentral:tRNA from 1 species
GGGGAUUUAGCUCAGUGGUAGAGUGCUUGCCUACCAAGCACAAGGCCCUGGGUUCAAUCCUCAGCUCCA